GUACAGGGGUCAUUGGUGCUGUGACCUCUCAGCCCUACCCCAGGAGGGGUCCGAGCAGGGUCACCCGCAACAUCUGGAGCCUAGACAUGGGGCUCGUGGAUCCCGUGCUGGCCUGGGUCUCCACCACGCUUGACUCAGGGUGUCACCACAGCUGAUUUUUGGAUCCUGGUCUUUGCGUUUUGCUGCUGGCGGUCCAUCCGUGGAUGGAGCCUAUGUGGAUGCAGGGUGCACUUUCGCUUUCACUAUCUGCCCCCUCUAGGACUCCUCUUCGUGCUUGCAGCCUGUUUUGGUGCCCCCUCUUCUGAGACUUGUUCGAUCACUGCUCGUGUGGUAAGCAGCUUGAGCCACUGAAGAUUCACCACGGUCCCCUCUGACAACUCACCAAAGGCCUAAAAGCAAUGAGACCCUCUGUUCGUGAAUUUGACUGCGUAAAACGCACCAUGGAAGGCAUAGAAUAUGAGUGCUGAGUCACAACAGCAGGAGGCCUGGCGUCUUGUCUCUUCCCUCAAAUUUGGAUACCAUCACGGGUGGACUGCCUCGUAUUCAACUAACACAUCUGAAUGGCACCAGGUAGCAAGCAAGCAAGCUUCAGCUACAUGGUGGUAUCAGUGGGGUCAUGGAUCUAUUCAUCUCAUCUCUCUCCAGCUAUCGGAUUCUGGGUAGUAGCUGCUUUAAACCAAUACAAAUUGAUCUUUUUUUGUUAUGUAGCUAAAGGUAACUGAUAUAUGCAUUCAUUCUAUUAGAAAAGAAACUACACUCACUGCAAAGAGAUGCCCAGAGUACACUGAAUAUUUUAUGUUAGGCCCUUUUAACCUGGGUAGUUUCUACAUUUUUCAUGUAUGUACAGUCGAAGACAAUUUUAUAAUUUUCUAAAUUAAUCACUACAAGGAGGACAAAGUUCUGUUUUUAUAGAUGUCCAGUGUCUUGUUCCCUUUUUAAUUGUGUGAAUGAUGUUCUGUUUUUGCAGCAGGGAUGGGAAGAACACUGUGGUAAUUUUAAUGUGACUCCCACAGUUUACUUGAUUUUUCUCAAUGACCUUGAAUAUCUCAAGCUGUGACUUAAAUAACAAAUGAUCAAAAGAAUACCCACUCCCGUUUUAUUCUGCAAUGAAA